CAGGAACAGCUUGCUGCUUCGCUGACGAGUGGCGGACGGGUGAGUAAUGUCUGGGAAACUGCCUGAUGGAGGGGGAUAACUACUGGAAACGGUAGCUAAUACCGCAUAACGUCGCAAGACCAAAGAGGGGGACCUUCGGGCCUCUUGCCAUCGGAUGUGCCCAGAUGGGAUUAGCUAGUAGGUGGGGUAACGGCUCACCUAGGCGACGAUCCCUAGCUGGUCUGAGAGGAUGACCAGCCACACUGGAACUGAGACACGGUCCAGACUCCUACGGGAGGCAGCAGUGGGGAAUAUUGCACAAUGGGCGCAAGCCUGAUGCAGCCAUGCCGCGUGUAUGAAGAAGGCCUUCGGGUUGUAAAGUACUUUCAGCGGGGAGGAAGGGAGUAAAGUUAAUACCUUUGCUCAUUGACGUUACCCGCAGAAAAAGCACCGGCUAACUCCGUGCCAGCAGCCGCGGUAAUACGGAGGGUGCAAGCGUUAAUCGGAAUUACUGGGCGUAAAGCGCACGCAGGCGGUUUGUUAAGUCAGAUGUGAAAUCCCCGGGCUCAACCUGGGAACUGCAUCUGAUACUGGCAAGCUUGAGUCUCGUAGAGGGGGGUAGAAUUCCAUGUGUAG
rnacentral:rRNA from 1 species